CUGGGCCGGGCUGUGAGCAACACGCGGGGCCGAGCGCACGAUUCCACUUCGGUGCCGGCUGGAGCGGAGGAAGCGGGUGCCGUGCGGAAAUGGAGACUUAGAGAGGUUGAGCGACUCAUUUAGGCUACGCGGCUGAUAAGUGCCACUGUGGUCUGUGAACCAAGACUGCCUGACACCAGCACCCAUGCACCCAGCACAGACUGGCUCCUGAAAUCCCCUCUUCACACAGGACACCUGAGGACUUCAACCUGAAAGGGUGUGAAGCUGAGUUUCUAGAGCCUUUGUCUCCAUGAGAAAGAGCCUGAGAAUAAAUUUAUCAUAAAGGAAAUGGAGCCUGACAAUAUCAUUGGAGCACCUGGAUCCAGCCAAGCCUGAAGCCACUAUGCGUUUUUAUCAGAUGUUCAUUAUGACCAUUUUUAUACUUCACUCCUGAAGGAUAUUUAGCUUGUUUUGAGGCUUCUGUUGAUACCAACGAUGGGACAGUGAACUUCCUGGGUUGAAGUCAACCCAGGUAGAUCUGCGUGUUCCCUUUUAUCAAGGACUGCACCACAACUACCGUGGAUUAAAGCACUCAUUACCCUACUUCCCCUUGAAGAAGGAAGGAGCUGGACACAAACUGCCAAAUGAGAAGGCUUCCAGACUCGGAUUCAAUUACACCACCAGCUUUCCUGGGUCUCCAGCUUGCAGGCGACAGAUUGUGGGACUUCGCAGCCUCCAUAAUGAUAUUGGGAGCCUGAGGCCCCAGAGGGGAAGUGUCCCGGCCACCAGUCCAUCCACAGUGCGAAUCAGCUGGGCCACGUGAUGAAUUGAGGAAGAAAACUUCCCAAGGCCUUCGAAACCUCUUAGGUGACUGUGGAGUGAGGCCAUUCGCAGAAACACCUGCUCGGGUUAAGCAUCCGCCGAGGGCCUCACACGGUGCCACCUGCCUUACCCGAGGGUACAAAGAAGAAUUGUGUAACUGGGGAGCUGAGACACCAGAGAAGAAACCAUUGAGACCCCUCUCCGUGAAUCCAGCACGAAAUGUCAAACCUACUUCAUCGUCACAAUCCUCUCCCUGAACCUUUCCCUGUGACUGUCUUUCUUGGAGUGGCUGACCCCCAAGCUUGGGAGAUGAACUUUUUCAACAUGAGUCAGAACUCAGUGGUUACUCCCUUGGUCUCAUCUCCUUCGAGGAAAGCCUGGCCAAUGAAUACCUCUUCUGUGAUCUCCAAACACCCUUUCUGCAUCUUUUCUUCAUCCCAAGACACCAGCAUCUCACCUGCAAACUAGAAAACCCAAAAGGAGACUUGAGUCACUGAGCAUGAUUGUGAUCUGGACGUACCAGAAGAUAUGGAUCCUCUUCUUUUCAGUCCUCUGAGGGGUCCAAAGAGGGCUCAGCCUGAGAUCGAUGCCAUGGGUUUCCCUGUGGGAGGGCUGGAUCUGUGUGAGAAAACUUAGACCAUUCGUAUAAGUGCAGGCAGAGAUGAUAGAAAAAAUAAUACAAAUGGCUCUUAGAGCAAAUGAUAAGAUACUCAUCUACACUUAUACUAAUAGAAAUGCAAAUUCAAACUAGAACCAGAUAACAUUAAAAAAAAAAAAAUCUAUCUGAUUGGCAGGGAUCCCAAAAUGUGAAGUAUGUUGUGUGGGAGGACGGUGAGGAAACAGGUGUGCUCUGUCAUGGAUGGUGACAUGCAAACUGCAAUAGCUCCCCAAAUUUAAAAAGCACAUGUGUGUCUAGGUGCUUGGGAUACAUCAGUGAACAAAACUGAUGAAUAUUCCAGCUCUCAGGGAAUUUACAUUCUCAGGGAAAAGCAGGAGGAAGAUAAGAAUAAACAUGGGACUUCCCUGGCAGUCCAGUGGUUAAGACUCUGCCCUUCCACUGCAGGGGGCAUGGGUUCGAUUCCCGGUCGGGGAACUAAGAUCCCACAUGCUGUGUGGUGUGGCCAAAAAAAAUAAAAAAGAAUAAACAUAAUCAAUCAAUCGAUCCUACAGUUUGUUAGGAGGUAAUAACUGCUAUGGAGAAAAGGACAAGUAGAGAAGUAUAAGAGGGAUCAGAAUUUGCUGGGGGCAGGGGACACGUGGCAUGUACAAUAAGGUGGUCAGAGUAGGGUCCUUAGAGAAGGUCCCUCAACAGCCCUGUGCAGUAGUCCCCGUUUCACAGAUGGUGCAACUGAGCCAGAGGUGAGUUUAGUGACCUCCUCACACUGCCAAGAAAGGGAAGGCAGGAAUUCUAACCCAGGCUGAAUGGCUUGAAUCUGUGCAUUUCACCACCUCAUUAUGUAAGAGCUAUAAGGAACCUGGAGAUGGGGAAACUGAGGCCCAGAGAAAUCAAAGGGACUUGCUCAAGGUCAUGGAGCAAGAGGAGGAGUGGGGUUAGUGAAUCCUCUGCUCACCAGGGAGAGAGGUGCUCUAGCCUGGGGUUCCCAAAAGGGAGAGGCUUUAAGAUGGUGUGCUGAAAAACGUUGUUGUUUUAGUAGUUUUAAUUGACAUUAAUGCGUAUUAGAAAGAAAUGCAACUAACACAUGGAAUUUGUAAUUGCACAAGGUUUGUGCUUAGGAUGAAUAAUUAAUUAAUUAAUUAAUUAGGUUGCUCCAGGUCUUUCUUUUUCAAGAUUAAAUCAAAGCCUUUAUUAAACAUCUCUCCUUCAAACCACCUGCAUUUAAACCUAUACCCCUCUCCUGACUUGCAGACUGCUAGGGCUAUGUGUGUGUCAUUGUCACCUGGAGGGUCAGAUCCAGUUGGGCUGCACAAUGCUGAAAAGCCACACCAAGACACACCACACUGGGCAGACCGCCACGGUUCUGUGCCCCUCAGGAUCUAGGCAAAGGUUGGCAGCACUGGCCCUGGAACCAGAGCUCAAGCACAGGAGACCAGGAAGCUGAAGUCUGAGCCUCCUUGUUCCAGACCUAGCCAUGCAGAGCGGACAAGCAGCUCUUGGCUACCGCUGUGCACCGGGUCUUAGUUGUGGCAGGUGGGCUCCUUAGUUUCGGUUCACCAGCUCCUUAGUCGCGGCACGCAGGCUCCUUAGCUGUGACCUGUGAACUCUCAGUUGCAGCAUGCAUGUGGGAUCUAGUACCCUGACCAGGGAUCGAACCUGGGCCCCCUGCACUGGGGGCGCGGAGUCUGGAUAAGACUUCCUGCGCCACCAAGGAAGUCCCAGGAUGAAUAAUUUUUAACUGAAUCAAUGUAAUGGAAAGACUAAGUAAAUUAUAGCACAGGCAGAAUGCAGUUAUGGCAAAAUUUGGGGGGAGUAUGCAUGGAAGACUGAAGUUUGGGCAACUCUGCCCUAGAUUGUAGCUACCUCUGGGGCCAGAGUAGAAAAUUUUUGGAACAGCCUGGAAGCUGAGCCUCCUGGCUCAAGGCUGCUCUGCCUAGGAAACCCUACCCUGUUCCUGCAUUGUCCUCACCGCAGCCAAACCGUCUCUGCACUGUGGGAACCAGCCCUUUUUAUGGGCAAUGUCAUCUUCAAAGUGCUUUUGGCUUGUUAGUCGGCUGUGAUUCACACCAAGCUGACUUAAGAGCCCACAUAGCCCUACAGAGGAGGGCUGAUGUCAGUGGCAUCGGGAACACCCUGCCAGGCUGGUGGCCAGACCCCACCCUAGAGACCAGCCUGGGAGAAUAUCCUGGCUUCACCCCCACUGUUUUAAAAAUAAUAUUUAUCACCUUGGAAGAAAAUCCCCAAACAGUCAACUCCUCUAAGUAUUUAUUUAUUUAUUUAUUUAUUUAAAGUUUUUGGCCGUGCUGCACAGCAUGUGGGAUGUUAGUUCCCCGACCAGGGAUCGAACCUGUGCCCCCUGCAUUGGAAUCGCGGAGUCUUAACCACUGGACAGCCAGGGAAGUCCCUUCACCCCUUUAAAGCAUCUCUGGGUGCCUCAGUUUUUUUCACCUAUGAAAUGCGGGUGAUAGUAAGGUUGUUGGGAGCACUCAGCAUAUCAAGCGUCUGGUGUGGGACAGCUGCUCCAUAAACAUUGCCUCCUUUCAUAGCCAGACGCCACUUCCUCCAUGGGGCAUUUCGGGGUUCCUCAUCAUCCCCCCUCUAACUUCCAGAACAUUCCAUAUGUUCUUCUCUUUUAACACCGAUCAGUUCUCUGUUUUGUUUUAAUUGCAUCCGUUCUCUGUUGCAAUUAACUCCCUGAGCUUGGGGCUUUUGUCAAAGGUAUCAUUAUAUCUCUCUGGGGAGGAAGCCCAGGGCCUGGCGAGAAGUUCCAUAAAUGUUUGUGUGCCUGAGAGGCAGCAGGGCGGCGGGCGUAGUGAAAAAGAACAAGGGCCCUAGAGCCCGCUCUGUGGGUGCAGUCCCAGUUCUGUCAUUCAUUAGCUAUGUGAUCUUAGGCAAGUCACUUACCUCUUCAUGCCUGGGAGUACUGACCUGUUAGAUGGAAAUCAUUGAUAAUAGCACCUACAUCAUAAGGUUGAGGAUUAGAUAAGUUAAUGUGCGUAGGACAGAAGCUGCCACAUGUUAGGAGUUUUAUGGCUGUUGGCUAUUAUUAUACCAGCAUCUCACAAAGGACGUUUUUCCUGGUGUGGCCUCCACAAAUAUUUGUGGGGUUUUUUGUUUGUUUUUUGCGGGGGGAAGGUUUUUUGGCUGCGCUGUAUGGCAUGCAGGACCUUAGUUCCCUGAUCAGGGUUUGAACCCAGGCCCUUGGCAGUGAAAGCGUGGAGUCCUAACCACUGGACCAUCAGGGAAUUCCCCAUAAAUAUUUGUUAAGCUGAACUGAAAAGACUGUAUCCUCACCUCUCAUUAUAUACUCGGCAGGUUUCUGAAAUUCUCUCAUUCCUAAUUCAUUCUCUGGAGUGAAGACAUUGUGCCUUAUUAAAAUGCAAAUGUUGUCCUCUUCAAAUGUUAUGUGAAUACUUUCUGUGUAAAAGGCUUUGCGCAGGAAUACCCUCUGUGGUCUUAUAAGGAAAAUGAGGAUGCUCUCCAAAGCAUAUUGUUAAGUGCAAAAAGCAAAAUAUAAAACCCUGAGUGUAGUAUGCUACCAUUUAUGGAGAAAACAAAAGCUAGGGAGAGGGGUAUACGUAGGAAGAGACGACUUACCUAUGCAGUCACAGACCAUCUUCAGGAGACCCAGGAAAUUGGUCUCAGGGAGGUC